UAUUAUUAUUUAUUGGUAUCGUUAUUUAUCAAUAUUAUUAUUUAAGUAUUAUUAUUUACUAGUAUUAUUAUUUAUCAAUAUUAUUAUUUAUUAGUAUUAUUAUUUAUCAAUAUUAUUAUUUAUUAGUAUUAUUAUUUAUUAGUAUUAUUAUUUAUUAUUAUACUAUGACUCUCUCAGCAAAAGCGCACAAAAUAUUCCCGAAUAGCGUAUGGUCAGGAAUAACUUUCCCUGAAAUGAAUAACUUUUCUUAAAACCUUCCUCAGCAAGGAUAAAAAAUAAUCAAUUAAUUUACUGUAUCGGCCGUAACGUAAAAGAGCCCAAUUUGUUUCGGAGUACUUCCAAACAGUAAACAAUCCCGCGUGUUUAUGAGCCAAAAAUAACUACCAGUGACGUAUUUUCAAAAUGGCUGCGGUGAGAAAUCUCUCCCCUAUGCAGAACCUGGCAAAACGCAGAAAAAAACCGCAUAACAUUGUCCUGCAAUCGAGAUUGUUAUAUUCCCAUCAGAAGUUACAUUCCCCUUACAUUGAUUCCACAAAAAUAAUUAACAUUUGGGGACGUUUUCGCCCGUUUUCUCUCAUUUUCGCCUCGGUUUCGCCCGUUUUCGCCCGGUUUCUCCCGUUUUCGCCCGGGUUCUCAUUUCCGUACUACCCGAGUUUAACUUACCCUGUCGUAAAAUGGCAAAUCAUGUCGGCCAAGAGAAAUUUAACGCCACUUCAGCUUACCACGGAUCGCCCCUCCAUUAUUAUCACAAUUUUAUGCCUCAUUUGCACAUUUAUCAAACUGCAUGAAGUUUGUUAUUGCAAGAAUUGAUUUUAAGGCACUGAAUAACUGCAGGCCUAGGCCAGUCUAAGGACAUCGUCGGCAAAAAGCGAAAGCACGAAGCCCAAAUGGACUUUUGUGUACCUCUGGCAGUCAUUCCCGUUUAUAAUUGUCUAAAUAAUUACUCUAUAUCUAUGUAUUAUACACUACCUAAAUUCAUGUUUGGAUCUAAAUACACCAGUUAACCGAACACUGUCCUUUUCAUGCAUUGUUUACAUUGCCAAAUGCAAUGAGGUACUGGCGAUCUUUAACAAGUAAAAAAGUAGUUUGUGUUGGAUUAAACGGCCUUAUGGCAUCACUAAAUGGCCCUUGCACAAAGGCUAGUAAUUAAUAGGCAUAUUAUGGACAAACGAACACUUCGUCACACCGAGACAAAUUUUAGCGGGAACAACCGUUUUAUGAAUUUAAAAGACCAUUCCCAUAUUCGUAACGGUAUAGGAAAGACUUCUAAUGGGUAUUUGCACGACCGAAGUUCAGCUGCUAUUCAAUUUUAAAAGUGUUUAAACUACACAAGCCGAAAAGAUUAUGUUAGGUCAGUGGUGAUAUUUCGUUUUGUUUCAUUAGACAACUACCCUGACUGAAGUAGCUAAUAUGUUAAUCAUCAUAACCAAUGCCAUAACACUGUUUGACUAAUAUCUUUACUACAGCUUACGCAGUGCAAGAACUUUGAACGUUAUCUCUUCGUAUAUUGUUGAUGCUGAUCCUUCAGAGCUUUUCUGGAAAAGAAAAGAUAAGCUUCAGAGCUUUUCUAAACCACCAAAAGCCUUUGAAUGUACCAAAACCGAAUUCUUUUUCCCUUGGCUUGAGUUCUGAGAUUUUACAUUUAAUAACUUAUAAGUGCACCAUCACCAGAAAUUGGUCAACACACUUUGAGGGGAGAUUGACAGCGACAGGGGGAACAGGGAAAUUAUCUUUGUCAGUUUUGCUUUCCAGAAUAGUUUGAAGACGAAGACUGUUCUUUUUAGAAAAGCAACAAAUUUACAACUUACGUAUAAACCUAGAGAGGUAGCGAGAAAAAUAUAGAAUUAAUGCACCGGACCGAAAACUCGUGUUUUUUCAGUUCCUAUAAUAAAUCAUAUAUGUGUAUUCAUACCUAUACUGCACACAUCAUAUUGAUAUACAUAACCAUUACAUUAAUUUGUAAAGGUUUAGGUCUAAUCAGUUAAAAAUAAAAGUGUUAUAUAUUACUUAAAAGAGACAAUGAAACAUCCAGGCACACGUUGAAUGCAUUAUCUUGCGUAUUAACACAUCGCAUUACUUCCUCAUUCUUCAGUAAAAUAUUACCAGUCAUGAGAAGAUUAUACUACUGCAAGGGUAGACUUAACAUUUCCAAAAAGGCAAGUCGGGGCCAGUUGCAUAAUUCAAUGCCAGAACACGGUUUAGCUGUCGUCAAGAGGUAAAGAAGCAAUAAUUUGGGUCUACCUUCAUUAGUAAACUAGGCAUAUUUAUCAAGAUAUUUGGAAAAAGUUAAAGAUGUCAUUUCUAAUUAGUGACUAUUUACGGUAGUCCGGUACACGUCCUUCGUUACUAUACCAUUGGUUUGAUUCAGGUGUAGGAAGCGUUUCUAAAGGAAAUCCAAGCUGUUACAGCUAUUACCAGACCAAUACCUUCGAUGGGAAUCAUUAAUUCAGGCAUAAGAUAAAGCAGUUUAUUCUCAGUGAGAAGAAUCCAUUGAAUAUAUGCCUCAUUUAAACGCAACAAAUAAUUCUUUGAUUUCAGGAAUAAAGGGAAAAUGGCAAUCCGAAGCCUUUAAAGCUUUUCUGUUAAAGAAACUACUGAGAUGGCUUUAUCUGUCUGCCCGCACUUUUUCUGUCCACCCUCAGAUCUUAAUAACUACUGAGGCUAGAGGGCUGCAAAUUUGUAUGUUGAUCAUCCACCCUCCGAGCAUCAAGCAUACUAAAUUGCAGCCAUAUAGCCUCAGAAGUUUUUAUCUAAUUAAAAGAUAAAAUUAGCCAUGAUUGUGCAACUGGCAACGCUAUUGGACAGGCCACCACCGGACCGUGACUGAAAUUUCAUGGACCGCGCCCUAUACAGCAUUAUACGCUGUACAGUUAACUCGAUUUCCCCGAAGAAACUUCUACACGUGAGACUGAUGCUGAUAAGUUGAUAAAUUGGAAGCUGAGUUUCUUUAAAAAAAAAUUUGUUAUACUAUUUUAUCAGUUUUUAUAUAUACAUUUAUACUUAGACGUAGGAUGUGAACAUUUAUAAGUACGAAAAACUUUUAUUAUGGUUUUCUUUUAACCCAAAUGAUUUAUUUACAGCAACCAUGACCAUAAUCGUUGCGACGCCAGUAGAUCAAUCGAUCAAUUAGGCACGAAAACCAGAGAGUAAUUUCAAUCCUAGUUCAUAUAAUUCAGAUUUACAAAGCAUUGUGCUCUUCAGCGAAUGUUCAACUAAAUCUAGAGCAAUAAUAAUAAUGGAAUCCCUUGAUUAGUCUAACAACAUUUUAAUUAACUCUACAUCAGUUCUGAUUUGAGACUGGGUUAUCAAGUACUUGUAAACUUAUUGAUACUGGUUUGAAUUCUAAUACAUCUUCAUCCGAAUAUAUGAACGAAAAUAUUCUGAUCACAGGUUCCAUCUCGGUUCCCUGAUAUGACCAGUUGCUCACUUGGAUCUCUGAAGAUGGUUUCAGCGGUAGCUUGUGCCGCUCACUGCAGUCGCCUGGCUGAGUGUUUGCUCCUCUGCUACGCUGAGAGCAACUGUUCCCUGUAUAGUGCCAGAGUUGCUUCUUACUAUGGUGGCGAAGGGACAACUUUACCUGGAAGAUGUUACUCUUCGUGGGCUGUUCCUAAUGACCUCAUGGCAGCUGCUUCUAUUCUCAGUUUAAGUUCUUCCUCCUCAGGACUUUUAGGAAGUUACGUCCUCAAAGGAUUCAACUGUUAUUACCCUUCGGUUUUCGUGUACACCUCAGAAACGGCACAAUCUUGCUUCUUGGAAGUGUCUAUUGGUGGUCAAAAAAGAAUAAAAGCGGUGAAGAUCCACACAAGAAACCAUAUCUUGUUAUCCACCGACGUUAAAAUACAAAUCGGAAACUCUUCAACUCUAAGUGCCGAUUCGAAAAAGAGAUUGACUGGGCAAAGAACGAGUACCAAGACUGGAGAAGUGGUUUUCUUCAGUCUGGAAGAAGCAGUCACAGUUUUAUGCAGACCCCUUGGCUUUCUGCUGUGUUGUCAUAUACCCUGCCUAAAAACUGAGAUAUCUGCUUAACUAACACAUUCCCAUUACAAUGAAAAUCGUUCACUUAGGUAGACAUGAAAUUACUGUAUGAUUUGCGACAUCUUUGAAAACUGAUAGGUAUGCUUAGACGCCCUCAUUUUAUCCCAUUAUUUCAAAUGCUUAAUAAUGUGAAAAGAAUAGUAUGUAUUGCUCUGAACUGAUAAGGCGGUUGCUCUUUAUCUUGCAUCUCACUAUUCCAGUGAUUCUCAACUUUUUUCACUCCUUUUUUUUUCAUGAAUUCUCAACAUUUGUGUGGCUCCCCUUCAUUUUUCUUCCAAAUCCCACCCCGCCAAAAAAGGUAAAAAAUAAAUAAAUAAAUAAAUAAAUAAAUAAAUAAAAUGUUGAUGAAGAGAACACCCUUGCUUUGUUACGAAGUUUACAGACAUAGUUAUCUUAUAUUUGAUAGAUUUCCGUGAUAUGCUUAACUUACAUCACUAGACUACAAAAGACUAGCAGACAAAAUUUUAUUGUCAACUUAAUCAAUUAAAGAAGAACAUUUUCCUUACCAGGACAGUGAUGCAAGUUUUUGUUUUUUUAUUCAGAUUCCUAACAUUAUUUAGAAAUGUAUAAUUUGCAACAGCCCACCAUGGACCCCAGGUUGAGAACCACUGCCCUAUUCAGAUAUGCUAUCAUUAAUGAUACACAAGAUACCAUGAUAACGACCUGAUAAUUUAUAGAAAUAGUAAAUGUGAUGGUAAUGAGCUUAUAAAGUUUGUCAGUGUAUAUUACCACAUCGUUAAAUGAUUUCAAAACUAUGAUAGCUAUUAUUGUAAGAUUAUUUGUGAAUCAAAUAGAACUAAAAUCUGUACAAUGAACUGCUUGGUAGACUGACCCAAUAAAUUCUGCUCAUCUGCA